rnacentral:pre_miRNA from 7 species
UGUGCAGUGGGAAGGGGGGCCGAUGCACUGUAAGAGAGUGAGUAGCAGGUCUCACAGUGAACCGGUCUCUUUCCCUACUGUGUC